GUGGGGAAUAUUGCACAAUGGGGGAAACCCUGAUGCAGCAACGCCGCGUGAGUGAUGAAGGUCUUCGGAUUGUAAAACUCUGUCUUUGGGGACGAUAAUGACGGUACCCAAGGAGGAAGCCACGGCUAACUACGUGCCAGCAGCCGCGGUAAUACGUAGGUGGCAAGCGUUGUCCGGAUUUACUGGGCGUAAAGGGAGCGUAGGCGGAUUUUUAAGUGGGAUGUGAAAUACCCGGGCUUAACCUGGGUGCUGCAUUCCAAACUGGAAGUCUAGAGUACAGGAGGGGAAAGUGGAAUUCCUAGUGUAGCGGUGAAAUGCGUAGAGAUUAGGAAGAACACCGGUGGCGAAGGCGACUUUCUGGACUGUAACUGACGCUGAGGCUCGAAAGCGUGGGGAGCAAACAGGAUUAGAUACCCGGGUAGUCC
rnacentral:rRNA from 1 species